rnacentral:rRNA from 1 species
AUUGAACGCUGGCGGCAGGCCUAACACAUGCAAGUCAAGCGAGCGGCGGACGGGUGAGUAAUGUCUGGGAACCUGCCUUAUGGAGGGGGAUAACUACUGGAAACGGUAGCUAAUACCGCAUACCAUCAGAUGUGCCCAGAUGGGAUUAGCUAGUAGGUCGGGUAACGGCGCACCGAGGCGACUAUCCCGAGCUGGUAUGAGAGGAUGACCAGCCACACUGGAAAUGAGACACGGUCGAGACUCCUACGGGAGGCAGCAGUGGGGAAUAUUGCACAAUGGGCGCAAGCCUGAUGCAGCCAUGCCGCGUGUGUGAAGAAGGCCUUCGGGUUUUAAAGCACUUUCAGCGGGGAGGCGUUACCCGCAGAAGAAGCACCGGCUAACUCCGUGCCAGCAGCCGCGGUAAUUC